rnacentral:rRNA from 1 species
UAACACGUGAGCAAUCUGCCCUUGACUCUGGGAUAACUUCGGGAAACCGUGGCUAAUACCGGAUAUGACACAUGGCCGCAUGGUUUGUGUGUGGAAAGAUUUAUCGGUCAGGGAUGAGCUCGCGGCCUAUCAGCUUGUUGGUGGGGUAAUGGCCCACCAAGGCGACGACGGGUAGCCGGCCUGAGAGGGCGACCGGCCACACUGGGACUGAGACACGGCCCAG